rnacentral:rRNA from 1 species
UACGUAGGGUGCGAGCGUUGUCCGGAAUUAUUGGGCGUAAAGGGCUCGUAGGCGGUCUGUUACGUCGGGAGUGAAAACUCGGGGCUCAACCCCGAGCCUGCUUCCGAUACGGGCAGACUAGAGGUAUGCAGGGGAGAAUGGAAUUCCUGGUGUAGCGGUGAAAUGCGCAGAUAUCAGGAGGAACACCGGUGGCGAAGGCGGGUCUCUGGGCAACAACUGACGCUGAGGAGCGAAAGCGUGGGGAGCGAACAGG